GCAUGCUCGUCUUCCCAUCCGUUUUCGCUUGUUAGCGCCAUAUCUCAAGAACCAGUUGACCAAUUUCAUUCAUAUUUAGCAUAAGGGGUUGAUCCCCAACACUAGCCAAUUAUGG